rnacentral:rRNA from 1 species
CCUACGGGGGGCAGCAGUGGGGAAUAUUGCACAAUGGGGGAAACCCUGAUGCAGCGACGCCGCGUGAGUGAAGCAGUAUUUCGGUAUGUAAAGCUCUAUCAGCAGGGAAGAAAAUGACGGUACCUGACUAAGAAGCCCCGGCUAACUACGUGCCAGCAGCCGCGGUAAUACGUAGGGGGCAAGCGUUAUCCGGAUUUACUGGGUGUAAAGGGAGCGUAGACGGCAGCGCAAGUCUGGAGUGAAAUGCCGGGGCUUAACCCCGGAACUGCGUUGGAAACUGUGCAGCUAGAGUGCAGGAGAGGUAAGUGGAAUUCCUAGUGUAGCGGUGAAAUGCGUAGAUAUUAGGAGGAACACCAGUGGCGAAGGCGGCUUACUGGACUGUAACUGACGUUGAGGCUCGAAAGCGUGGGGAGCAAACAGGAUUAGAUACCCUAGUAGUC